rnacentral:rRNA from 1 species
UACGUAGGGAGCAAGCGUUGUCCGGAAUCAUUGGGCGUAAAGCGCGUGUAGGCGGGUCGGUAAGUCCGCUCUGAAAGCCCGGGGCUCAACCCCGGGAGGCGGGUGGAUACUGUCGACCUCGAGUCCGGAAGAGGCGAGUGGAAUUCCUGGUGUAGCGGUGAAAUGCGCAGAUAUCAGGAGGAACACCAAUGGCGAAGGCAGCUCGCUGGGACGGUACUGACGCUGAGACGCGAAAGCGUGGGGAGCAAACAGG